rnacentral:rRNA from 1 species
CUACGUGCCAGCAGCCGCGGUAAUACGUAGGGUGCAAGCGUUAUCCGGAAUUAUUGGGCGUAAAGGGCUCGUAGGCGGUUCGUCGCGUCCGGUGUGAAAGUCCAUCGCUUAACGGUGGAUCCGCGCCGGGUACGGGCGGGCUUGAGUGCGGUAGGGGAGACUGGAAUUCCCGGUGUAACGGUGGAAUGUGUAGAUAUCGGGAAGAACACCAAUGGCGAAGGCAGGUCUCUGGGCCGUUACUGACGCUGAGGAGCGAAAGCGUGGGGAGCGAACAGGAUUAGAUACCCUGGUAGUCCACGCCGUAAACGGUGGAUGCUGGAUGUGGGGCCCGUUCCACGGGUUCCGUGUCGGAGCUAACGCGUUAAGCAUCCCGCCUGGGGAGUACGGCCGCAAGGCUAAAACUCAAAGAAAUUGACGGGGGCCCGCACAAGCGGCGGAGCAUGCGGAUUAAUUCGAUGCAACGCGAAGAACCUUACCUGGGCUUGACAU